ensembl:lncRNA LINC00906 long intergenic non-protein coding RNA 906
GCUGGGUGCAUGGAGCCCCAGUAGACAGAAAGUGAAGAAAACAUCAACGUUCUGAAGUUUUAGAUAGGUGCACCAUCCCUUAUGGAUACCAAUCUGUGCUCCCCAUAAACUUCUGUGCCCAGGGUCAACUGGCCAGGGACAACUGGCUCACCAGGAGGCCUACAUAGCCUCUUCUUCAGGCCCUAAUUACAGCUCUAUGCAAUAGGGACUCUGCCAUCUGACAGCCAAGGAGGUGGUUCGGUUUCUGCACAUGGUUUUUUCCGCUGGGUCCCUUGAGGUCCAUGGUAACCUCUUCCUCAUUCUCUACAGGCAGAUCACACUUUGUAAUAAGAUCAGAGGCAGAGAACUUUGACCAGAUCACACUUUAUAAUAAGAUCAGAGGCAAAGAACUCUGACCAGAUCACACUUUAUAAUAAGAUCAGAGGCAGAGAACUUUGACAACUAUCUCCUUGCCCUCUGGCCCUGGGGUCAGGGCUACUCAAACAACACCUGCUGUCCCAAACCCGGAGAAGUGUAGAUUUUGGCACUGGUAGAGGAAUAACAGCUAUUGUUGACACUUAAUCUUGUGGGCCUGGAAUUUCAACUAUGUUUUCACAACUCGGAGCCUAUUGCUGCCACCUCUGUCAGGGAAGAUAAAUGGGCAUGAAUAAUAGACAGAUGAGUUUCCCAAAAGCCCAGACAGGCUGCAGGGAACACGUAAUGAGCAGACAGUGUGGUUCACGCCGGGGAGCCCAGGUUUAUCCAGGCCUCAUCCUCACUCCCUUUCUCUACUGAUAAUUGGACCCAACAGGACCAUUCCGAAUCAUUUUUCUCUCUUCAGUUAUUCUUCAGUUCUACUCAAAGGAUGAAGAAAGAUGAUACGAUGUGAUGGACAACAGAGACUUAUAUGGUGGGGUCUGGGCUGGUCUUUCUGAAGCUAAGACUGGCAGGAUGAGCAGGAGUUUGCCAGACAAAGAGGAGUGGAGUUGUUUUCCAAACACAUCUCAGCACAAAGUGUUGUCUUUGCUGGGAGCUGAAAAAAGAUAGUGUGGGCAGAGACCAUUAGGAGACAGAGAAUGGAAAAAAGCCAGCAGAUAAAUCAUCUGGCCUUCCUCCCCUAUGACAGACUGUUCUGAGCCACAGUGUUUCACAUGUCUUCCUGGAGAUGUCCCACAUGACUUGAGCAACCAGCUGGAGCUCUGGAGAAACUGUGGCCAUCCUGAGGAAGAAACAGGCCCAGAGAAGUUGGGUAACUCAUCAAAGGUCACAGAGCUAAGAGUGGCAGAGUCAGGCCUGGAGCCCAGGAAGUCUGGUUUCGAAUUUCAUGCUUCUAACCUGAGCACUGUACUGCUUGGUGGAGUUCUCUGCUAGUCCUACCUUUCAGGCAGAGGUGAUGCAGCAAGAAAGCUGCCACCAGAUGCAGCCCCUUGAUCUCGGACUGCCCAGCCUCUAGAACUGGGCUUCAGUAGAAGAGGAAGAGGCUUGGGUUUAAUUGAAGGUGGCCUGAGACAUCUGUGAGGAACAGCCCUUUUAGAGACAUAUCCCCUACAAAUAAAGCAUCAGAAUUAUUAUCCU